rnacentral:ribozyme from 1 species
AGCCCAGCGACUCCUAUCCCUACCUCCUCGUGGUACUGGCCUGGGUACGAGUUACCUCAGGGAAGAUCGGGUAACCAACCUCGGUGGGAACUUUGGUCAUAUGUUGACAGGGAUGG